rnacentral:rRNA from 1 species
AUACGUAGGGUGCGAGCGUUGUCCGGAAUUACUGGGCGUAAAGAGCUCGUAGGUGGUUUGUCGCGUCGUCUGUGAAAUUCCGGGGCUUAACUCCGGGCGUGCAGGCGAUACGGGCAUAACUUGAGUACUGUAGGGGAGACUGGAGUUCCUGGUGUAGCGGUGAAAUGCGCAGAUAUCAGGAGGAACACCGGUGGCGAAGGCGGGUCUCUGGGCAGUAACUGACGCUGAGGAGCGAAAGCAUGGGUAGCGAACAGGAUUAGAUACCCUGGUAGUCCAUGCCGUAAACGGUGGGCGCUAGGUGUAGGGGUCUUCCACGACUUCUGUGCCGUAGCUAACGCAUUAAGCGCCCCGCCUGGGGAGUACGGCCGCAAGGCUAAAACUUAAAGGAAUUGACGGGG